rnacentral:rRNA from 1 species
AACAAACGCUGGCGGCGUGCCUAACACAUGCAAGUCGUACGAGAAAGUCCGUUUCGGCGGAUGAGUAAAGUGGCGCACGGGUGAGUAACGCGUGGAUAAUCUGCCCCUCAGUUGGGAAUAACUCAUCGAAAGGUGGGCUAAUACCGAAUAACGCUAUUCUCCGCAAGAAGAAUAGCCAAAGAUAGCCUCUGCUUGCAAGCUUUCGCUGAAGGAUGAGUCCGCGUACCAUUAGCUAGUUGGUAGGGUAAUGGCCUACCAAGGCGACGAUGGUUAGCUGGUCUGGAGAGGAUGAUCAGCCACACUGGAACUGAGACACGGUCCAGACUCCUACGGGUGGCAG